rnacentral:rRNA from 1 species
UCCAGACUCCUACGGGAGGCAGCAGUAGGGAAUAUUGCUCAAUGGGGGAAACCCUGAAGCAGCAACGCCGCGUGGAGGAUGAAGGUUUUAGGAUUGUAAACUCCUUUUGUUAGAGAAGAUUAUGACGGUAUCUAACGAAUAAGCACCGGCUAACUCCGUGCCAGCAGCCGCGGUAAUACGGAGGAUGCGAGCGUUAUCCGGAUUUAUUGGGUUUAAAGGGUGCGCAGGCGGCGUGUCAAGCAAGCGGUAAAAUAGCGGGGCUCAACCCCGUCGAGCCGUUUGAACUGGCGCGCUUGAGUUCAGGCGAGGUAGGCGGAAUUCGUGGUGUAGCGGUGAAAUGCAUAGAUAUCACGAAGAACUCCGAUUGCGAAGGCAGCUUACCAGUCUGCGACUGACGCUCAGGCACGAAAGUGUGGGUAUCGAACAGGAUUAGAUACCCCAGUAAA